rnacentral:rRNA from 1 species
AACGUAGGAGACAAACGUUAUCCGGAGUUACUGGGCGUAAAGGGCGUGUAGGUGGUUUUGUAAGUCUGGCGUGAAAUUUUUCGGCUCAACCUCGGGCCUGCAGUCGAUACGGGCAAACUAGAGUACUGCAGGGGAGACUGGAAUUCCUGGUGUAGCGGUGGAAUGCGCAGAUAUCAGGAGGAACACCGGUGGCGAAGGCGGGUCUCUGGGCCGUUACUGACGCUGAGGAGCGAAAGCGUGGGGAGCGAACAGG